rnacentral:rRNA from 1 species
GACGAACGCUGGCGGCGUGCUUAACACAUGCAAGUCGAACGGAAAGGCCCUGCUUGCAGGGUACUCGAGUGGCGAACGGGUGAGUAACACGUGGGUGAUCUGCCCUGCACUUCGGGAUAAGCCUGGGAAACUGGGUCUAAUACCGGAUAGGAGCCAUUUUUAGUGUGAUGGUUGGAAAGUUUUUUCGGUGUAGGAUGAGCUCGCGGCCUAUCAGCUUGUUGGUGGGGUAAUGGCCUACCAAGGCGGCGACGGGUAGCCGGCCUGAGAGGGUGGACGGCCACAUUGGGACUGAGAUACGGCCCAGACUCCUACGGGAGGCAGCAGUGGGGAAUAUUGCACAAUGGGCGCAAGCCUGAUGCAGCGACGCCGCGUGGGGGAUGACGGCCUUCGGGUUGUAAACUCCUUUCGCUAGUGACGAAGCUUUUUGUGACGGUACCUAGAUAAGAAGCACCGGCUAACUACGUG